rnacentral:rRNA from 1 species
UGGGGAAUAUUGCACAAUGGGCGCAAGCCUGAUGCAGCGACGCCGCGUGAGGGAUGACGGCCUUCGGGUUGUAAACCUCUUUCAGUAGGGAAGAAGCGUAAGUGACGGUACCUGCAGAAGAAGCGCCGGCUAACUACGUGCCAGCAGCCGCGGUAAUACGUAGGGCGCAAGCGUUAUCCGGAAUUAUUGGGCGUAAAGAGCUCGUAGGCGGUUUGUCGCGUCUGCCGUGAAAGUCCGGGGCUCAACUCCGGAUCUGCGGUGGGUACGGGCAGACUAGAGUGAUGUAGGGGAGACUGGAAUUCCUGGUGUAGCGGUGAAAUGCGCAGAUAUCAGGAGGAACACCGAUGGCGAAGGCAGGUCUCUGGGCAUUAACUGACGCUGAGGAGCGAAAGCAUGGGGAGCGAACA